rnacentral:lncRNA from 1 species
GUAGAUGAUGAUCAUGAUAUGCUUGAGUAGAUGAUAAUGCUCAUGUUAUGCAUGUGAUUAAUGCAACCAUAACACUGGGGUCUUACAGUUGGAAUCUAGGUACAUGUAAAGAAAAGAGCAACUAUUCAUCAUUUCCAAGACAAAAUUUAAAUGUUCAUCAUUUUUUAUUUGGUUCUAGUUUAGUCUGACCCUAAACAAACUCUAAUAUUUAACUAAUUUUAAACUCAUAGAAGACUCCAUGACUUGUGGACCUUCAUGUGCCCACAUAUUUUUGGUAUUUUUAUGACUAUAUACACUCGAUAAUCGUUUAGGUAUAAUUACCUGAUAACUAGGGGAUGCUCCUCCCCCAUGCUGGAUGUUUGCAAUACUUGGUGUUGAUGUCCUUCAGAGCGAGCUAGCCAGUAGAAAACCUUGUGGGUGCCACUGCUAGACUUUCUCCUUGUUAUGAUAUCCUUUCUGCAUAGUAGUACUCCAACAAGAAAACCAAAACUCAAGGCUUGUAUUUAAUAAUGGGUUAGCGGUCAGCCAAUGAGCGAGUGAUUAUUCUUAUGAGCUCAUUUUAAGCAGGAUUUCAUAUUUUUGAUUUAAGCAGGAUUUCAUAUUUCUAUUCUUUAUGAAUUUUCUAUUUCUGCUGCAGAAAUUAAAUAUGAAUACUAUUUAUUUUAUUUUUUUAUUUUUAUUUUUUAUGGCACCACAGUAAAUAUUCCUAAGGGACAACCAUAAGUUUAUUCACAUGGGGCUUUGGUAUUUAUGAUGCAGUAAUUUAUGGAGUAAAUAUUUGUUUGUAUUUUGUAUUUAUGCCAAGAGAAAUAAAUAUGCUACUAAAAGUAUUAAAGCAAAAUUACUAAUGCAUGUUAAUUACUACCAUUCUGACCUUAUGGCUAGGGUACGGAAUUUGCAGUCUACCGACAGGACUUGGAUUGUGGAGAGGACUUACUCAGUGGGUUCAUUGCCUGAGGUAACCUCAGUCAACUCCCCGUCUUCCUCCCAUCUUGCUUCUGUCUCUUUUGCUUCUUGUUUCUCUAGUUCCAACUCUUCAGUCCUAUUCUCUUUCUCCCAGGAUGCUAAUCAGGCUAAGAUCUCCUCUUUCUCUUUCUUGGCGAUCUGGUCCAUCCUUUCAGCUUCUUUGGCCCACUCACUCCAUCGGGGUGCUUGCGUGUUCUCUUCUUCGUCCAUGAGGUGAUCUUCAUACUUCACAAUCUUGCCAGGAAAGUCUUCCCAUCCACAGUGAGGCUGGGUAGCCUGACAUGGCUUGGCGUCUUCUCCUGUUGCAUUCCUUCCUAAUCUGCUCACAGUUAACUAAUGUUCUAAAUUGACAACAUACCUUUCCGGUGGGUAGGUUGAAGUGGAUAUGCCCUGAUCCGAUGUAGAUGUUGGCAUUAGUUGUGUAGAGGAACGGUCUUCCCAAGAGGAUUGGGAUCUCAUCGUCUCCCUGCAUGUCAAGCAUUGGAAAAUCUGUAGGUAUAUAAUGUUCUUGAAUUCUUACCAAUACAUCCUUGACCAUUCCUUCCAGGAAUCUUAAUGAUUGAUCCGCCAUCUGCAACUGAAUAUGUGUUGGGUAUAAAGGUAAAUCAAAUAAUUCAACGUAUACCUAUUUUGACAUUACGUUGUAGCCUGAUCCACACAGACGGUGUAAGGGAAGGUGGUGUUGUUGAUUGUGCAGUCAAUGAUUGGAACUCCUAGAUCAACUCUCUUGAUCGGACAUGUAACACUCUAGGUGUUUGUCACUUGCUAAGUACUAGGUUUGAGAUCAAACAUGAAAAGUUCAAUGUAAACAAAGAGGCCACAAUGAAUCUAUGAAAGUAAACCCCAACUUGGACUUGGAUGAUGCACCUUUGCUUACAUAUAGGCCCUUUUAUUAAAAGGUAUGCUUGGAUGAUGCUAGUGGAACAUUUUCCAUGUGUCUCAUAUCCAUCCCAAUCUAUGUUGGUCCUUGGAAAAGUUUGGUGAAGUUUGGAAUCAAGAAGUCACUGUUGGCGGUUCUUAAUGACAUAUUUACCCCACCAACAUAGUCCAUGCAAAGGAAGAAAAGCAUGUAUUUUACUCACAUAUACUUAGUAAAUGCUUACCAAGUUCCACAUGUAGUGCAAGUUGUGUUUUGCAAAUCAUAUACAGGCAUACAGGUGGAAAGCAAAUAAAAAGGCGCAAUCCGACACGUCAAAAAAUGUGCAAAUAAACAAGUACCCAAAAGCCCAAUAUAGAAGUGCAUCAAUUUGCAGGUGGAUCUGGACUCAGGGGCCCG